rnacentral:rRNA from 1 species
UACGAAGGGGGCUAGCGUUGCUCGGAAUCACUGGGCGUAAAGGGUGCGUAGGCGGGUUUUUAAGUCAGGGGUGAAAUCCUGGAGCUCAACUCCAGAACUGCCUUUGAUACUGAAGAUCUUGAGUUCGGGAGAGGUGAGUGGAACUGCGAGUGUAGAGGUGAAAUUCGUAGAUAUUCGGAAGAACACCAGUGGCGAAGGCGGCUCACUGGCCUGGUAUUGACGCUGAGGUGCGAAAGCGUGGGGAGCAAACAGG